CAGUCGCCGCGGGAAUACGGAGGGUGCAAGCGUUAAUCGGAAUUACUGGGCGUAAAGCGCACGCAGGCGGUUUGUUAAGUCAGAUGUGAAAUCCCCAGGCUCAACCUGGGAACUGCGUCUGAUACUGGCAAGCUUGAGUCUCGUAGAGGGGGGUAGAAUUCCAGGUGUAGCGGUGAAAUGCGUAGAGAUCUGGAGGAAUACCGGUGGCGAAGGCGGCCCCCUGGACGAAGACUGACGCUCAGGUGCGAGAGCGUGGGGAGCAAACAGGAUUAGAUACCCCAGUAGUCCCUGUCUCUUAUAC
rnacentral:rRNA from 1 species